rnacentral:lncRNA from 1 species
UUGCUCCUGCCUUGGGGUACUGGCCUGGCUGACGUUGUACCUUCCUUCCCAGUAUGUGGGUGCCCUGGAAGACAUGCUGCAGGCCCUGAAAGUCCAAGCAAGUAAACCGGCCUCGGAAGUGAUCAGUGAGUACUCCCGCAAAGUGGACUUUCUGAAGGGCAUGCUGCAGGCUGAGAAGUUGACCUCCUCCUCUGAAAAGGCUCUAGCUAACCAGUUCCUGGCUCCUGGCCGCGUGCCCACCACAGCCAAGGAGCGGGUGCCUGCCACCAAGACUGUACAUUUGCAGUCUAGAGCACGUUACACCAGUGAGAUGCGGAGUGAGCUGUUGGGCACGGAGUCCUCUGGAGAGCUGGAGGCAGACAUGAGGAAGCGAGUUGUGAAGGGGCCUAGACCUGCAGAUGAGAAGCAGUCAGCGUCCGAGCUAGACCUCGUCCUCCAGAGGCACCAGGGCCUCCAGGAAAAGCUGGCUGAGGAGAUGCUAGGCUUGGCCCGCAGCCUGAAGACCAACACACUGGCUGCCCAGAGUGUCAUCAAGAAGGACAACCAGACCCUGUCACAUUCGCUCAAGAUGGCAGACCAGAACCUGGAGAAGCUGAAGCUGGAGUCAGAGCGGCUGGAGCAGCACGCACAGAAGUCGGUGAACUGGCUGCUGUGGGCCAUGCUCAUCGUCGUGUGCUUCGUGUUCAUCAGCAUGAUCCUGUUCAUACGCAUCAUGCCCAGACUGAAAUAAAACAACACCCGCCCGCCAA